rnacentral:rRNA from 1 species
GGGGGGACCAUCCUCCAAGGCUAAAUACUCCUGACUGACCGAUAGUGAACCAGUACCGUGAGGGAAAGGCGAAAAGAACCCCGGCGAGGGGAGUGAAAAAGAACCUGAAACCGUGUACGUACAAGCAGUGGGAGCCUCUUAAUGGGGUGACUGCGUACCUUUUGUAUAAUGGGUCAGCGACUUAUAUUCUGUAGCAAGGUUAACCGAAUAGGGGAGCCGAAGGGAAACCGAGUCUUAACUGGGCGUUAAGUUGCAGGGUAUAGACCCGAAACCCGGUGAUCUAGCCAUGGGCAGGUUGAAGGUUGGGUAACACUAACUGGAGGACCGAACCGACUAAUGUUGAAAAAUUAGCGGAUGACUUGUGGCUGGGGGUGAAAGGCCAAUCAAACCGGGAGAUAGCUGGUUCUCCCCGAAAGCUAUUUAGGUAGCGCCUCGUGAAUUCAUCUCCGGGGGUAGAGCACUGUUUCGGCAAGGGGGUCAUCCCGACUUACCAACCCGAUGCAAACUGCGAAUACCGGAGAAUGUUAUCACGGGAGACACACGGCGGGUGCUAACGUCCGUCGUGAAGAGGGAAACAACCCAGACCGCCAGCUAAGGUCCCAAAGUCAUGGUUAAGUGGGAAACGAUGUGGGAAGGCCCAGACAGCCAGGAUGUUGGCUUAGAAGCAGCCAUCAUUUAAAGAAAGCGUAAUAGCUCACUGGUCGAGUCGGCCUGCGCGGAAGAUGUAACGGGGCUAAACCAUGCACCGAAGCUGCGGCAGCGACACUAUGUGUUGUUGGGUAGGGGAGCGUUCUGUAAGCCUGUGAAGGUGGCCUGUGAGGGUUGCUGGAGGUAUCAGAAGUGCGAAUGCUGACAUAAGUAACGAUAAAGCGGGUGAAAAGCCCGCUCGCCGGAAGACCAAGGGUUCCUGUCCAACGUUAAUCGGGGCAGGGUGAGUCGACCCCUAAGGCGAGGCCGAAAGGCGUAGUCGAUGGGAAACAGGUUAAUAUUCCUGUACUUGGUGUUACUGCGAAGGGGGGACGGAGAAGGCUAUGUUGGCCGGGCGACGGUUGUCCCGGUUUAAGCGUGUAGGCUGGUUUUCCAGGCAAAUCCGGAAAACCAAGGCUGAGGCGUGAUGACGAGGCACUACGGUGCUGAAGUGACAAAUGCCCUGCUUCCAGGAAAAGCCUCUAAGCAUCAGGUAACAUCAAAUCGUACCCCAAACCGACACAGGUGGUCAGGUAGAGAAUACCAAGGCGCUUGAGAGAACUCGGGUGAAGGAACUAGGCAAAAUGGUGCCGUAACUUCGGGAGAAGGCACGCUGAUAUGUAGGUGAAGCGACUUGCUCGUGGAGCUGAAAUCAGUCGAAGAUACCAGCUGGCUGCAACUGUUUAUUAAAAACACAGCACUGUGCAAACACGAAAGUGGACGUAUACGGUGUGACGCCUGCCCGGUGCCGGAAGGUUAAUUGAUGGGGUUAGCGGUAACGCGAAGCUCUUGAUCGAAGCCCCGGUAAACGGCGGCCGUAACUAUAACGGUCCUAAGGUAGCGAAAUUCCUUGUCGGGUAAGUUCCGACCUGCACGAAUGGCGUAAUGAUGGCCAGGCUGUCUCCACCCGAGACUCAGUGAAAUUGAACUCGCUGUGAAGAUGCAGUGUACCCGCGGCAAGACGGAAAGACCCCGUGAACCUUUACUAUAGCUUGACACUGAACAUUGAGCCUUGAUGUGUAGGAUAGGUGGGAGGCUUUGAAGUGUGGACGCCAGUCUGCAUGGAGCCGACCUUGAAAUACCACCCUUUAAUGUUUGAUGUUCUAACGUUGGCCCCUAAUCGGGGUUGCGGACAGUGUCUGGUGGGUAGUUUGACUGGGGCGGUCUCCUCCUAAAGAGUAACGGAGGAGCACGAAGGUUGGCUAAUCCUGGUCGGACAUCAGGAGGUUAGUGCAAUGGCAUAAGCCAGCUUGACUGCGAGCGUGACGGCGCGAGCAGGUGCGAAAGCAGGUCAUAGUGAUCCGGUGGUUCUGAAUGGAAGGGCCAUCGCUCAACGGAUAAAAGGUACUCCGGGGAUAACAGGCUGAUACCGCCCAAGAGUUCAUAUCGACGGCGGUGUUUGGCACCUCGAUGUCGGCUCAUCACAUCCUGGGGCUGAAGUAGGUCCCAAGGGUAUGGCUGUUCGCCAUUUAAAGUGGUACGCGAGCUGGGUUUAGAACGUCGUGAGACAGUUCGGUCCCUAUCUGCCGUGGGCGCUGGAGAACUGAGGGGGGCUGCUCCUAGU